UUCGGGUCGUAAAGCUCUGUCCUCANGGAAGAUAAUGACGGUACUUGAGGAGGAAGCCCCGGCUAACUACGUGCCAGCAGCCGCGGUAAUACGUAGGGGGCUAGCGUUAUCCGGAAUUACUGGGCGUAAAGGGUGCGUAGGUGGUUUCUUAAGUCAGAGGUGAAAGGCUACGGCUCAACCGUAGUAAGCCUUUGAAACUGGGAAACUUGAGUGCAGGAGAGGAGAGUGGAAUUCCUAGUGUAGCGGUGAAAUGCGUAGAUNUUAGGAGGAACACCAGUUGCGAAGGCGGCUCUCUGGACUGUAACUGACACUGAGGCACGAAAGCGUGGGGAGCAAACAGGAUUAGAUACCCUGGUAGUCCACGCCGUAAACGAUGAGUACUAGCUGUCGGAGGUUACCCCCUUCGGUGGCGCANCUAACGCAUUAAGUACUCCGCCUGGGAA
rnacentral:rRNA from 1 species